AAAAUCAGUUUCGCGAUCACUUCACUCUACAACUGAAAUAGACGACUAUGGGCAACAAAACUUUGCCACAUGAAAGGAAGCGUCCGUGAGACAUGGAAAAGUCAAUAAAAGAGCAAAGUGUUAGUUAAAGUUUUACGAAAAUCAUAUGAAAAAUGUAGCUAGGUUUUGGGAAAAACUUGCAUACACGAUUCACAUUUAAUAGAAGAGUAAUUGUUUAACCAGGCACCCAAAUUAAUAAGAUUCCCACUACGGGUUCAGUUAUGGCCCAAUGGGUUUUAGAAAUAUAAUUGUAAAAUAAAUAAAAAAGGACACAUGCCAAGAAAAGAGUCACCCGGUGAAAAUCACCGGGUUUAGCAUCGUAUUCCCCAUGUAUCUACUCUUAAUACACGGUUAUAUGGUAGUUUGUUUUUCUUUUCCUUUUAUGGGAG
rnacentral:lncRNA from 1 species